rnacentral:lncRNA from 1 species
UCAUAUUGUCCUUACGUUCAAACCGGUUCCGAGCACAUAUUCAUCGUCACAUAAAGAUUAAAUCAAUGUUAAUUCCCAUUUGCUUUCUCUUUUGGCUUAAUUAAUUGAUUAAAAUCUUUAAUCAGUUUAAUUUCUAUUAAUCAAUUUUAAUUAACUUAAUUAUUUGAUUAAUUAAAUAAUUUUGAUAAUUAAUUUUAAUUAAUUCAAUUAACCUAUUUAACCAAGUUUAAUAAAUUAAUUUUGCUUUAAAAGAAUUG